rnacentral:rRNA from 1 species
GAGUUUGAUCGUGGCUCAGGAUGAACGCUGGCGGCGUGCCUAAUACAUGCAAGUCGAGCGAACGGACGAGAAGCUUGCUUCUCUGAUGUUAGCGGCGGACGGGUGAGUAACACGUGGAUAACCUACCUAUAAGACUGGGAUAACUUCGGGAAACCGGAGCUAAUACCGGAUAAUAUUUUGAACCGCAUGGUUCAAAAGUAAAAGACGGUCUUGCUGUCACUUAUAGAUGGAUCCGCGCUGCAUUAGCUAGUUGGUAAGGUAACGGCUUACCAAGGCAACGAUGCAUAGCCGACCUGAGAGGGUGAUCGGCCACACUGGAACUGAGACACGGUCCAGACUCCUACGGGGGCAGCAGUAGGGAAUCUUCCGCAAUGGGCGAAAGCCUGACGGAGCAACGCCGCGUGAGUGAUGAAGGUCUUCGGAUCGUAAAACUCUGUUAUUAGGGAAGAACAUAUGUGUAAGUAACUGUGCACAUCUUGACGGUACCUAAUCAGAAGCCACGGCUAACUACGUGCCACG